GUCUACAACCAUACCACCAGGAAAACAUCACCGAAGUUAAGCCUGGUCGGGCGAAGUUAGUACUUGGAUGGGUGACCGCCUGGGAAUACUUCGUGUUGUAGACU
rnacentral:rRNA from 1 species